rnacentral:rRNA from 1 species
CGCUUAGGGGACACACCCGUUCCCAUCCCGAACACGACGGUUAAGACCUAAGCGGCCGAUGGUACUGCACUGGAGACGGUGUGGGAGAGCAGGUGGCUGCCAGAU